UGAGUACUAUUAACAUUAUAAGCCACACUUAUUUGUCGAAAAAUUAUUCUUUGAAUUAUGUGUAGUGUUUAGGGUUUUUAUGGGUAUUUUUGGCAUAAAAAUAAAUUAAUAUCAUUCUUUAUGAAUUACUUAUUUGUUUCUUACUUUCUUAUAUAAAGAAUCAGAAAGAAUAUUUAAAUUUAGCUGGUGAUAUACGUCCAAAACAAGUUGUGGUAGUUAUUCCGACAAUCUACUUUUUACACUUCUAUAGAAAAGUUAGGUCAAAAUUAUAUUUGCAUGACAAGUCUAGUUAUGUGAAUGAAAUUAAAAUUUAAGAAUGUAGAUCAAAAUGUAUAAAAAUCCAUUCUUUCAGAUUCUGUGUUGCCCUAAUAUUGUUUUUUCCACUGGGAGAUUGACUUGAGUCCCACAUUGGAAGUAUGGAAUUCUAGUGUGGGCUUUAUAAUGUCAUAGAACUCUCCAACUACAACAACAAGCUUUUGUGUGGUGGUUCUCAAUAAGCUUUAUAAUUGUUACACAUUUUUAUAUUUAGUUGUGUUGUUGAUACAACAACUGAUACAGCAUUUUAUAUAACAAUUUUUGUCAUUUUCUCUCUAAUGCAUCACUAAUUACAUUUCACACUUCUCUCUCUUGUCUGUCUUUGUCUCUCUAUGUUGUUCAAUUUGUUGUACAAAUAACAUUUCUCUUUUAUAUUAUUUACUAUUUGUGAGAUGACACAAAGUUGUAAUAUAUUUGAUGGUCUUUUCUUCACUGUUUGUUACUAUUUCUUUGAAGUGUAAUGCUAUAUUAGUUUUGUAAUCUUGUCUGGUAGCUGGACCCAAGCUAUAAAAGUUUUGAGAAAAAGGUUAUUGUGAAAUCUUCUCAUCCUGUUGGGAAGUGUAGACUUCUAACCGGCGACCAAAGUCUACAGCUGGAUGUGAGGGUUGGUUCUACUUUUCCAACCUUGUGCAUCGCAUAUUAUGAUAUCUAUGAUAAUCAAGCACCUUUUCAAUCAAUUCCGGAUGUAACUGUCAAACUUACGACUGCUGCGGGAAUGCACUUUGAAGUACAUGGGUUGAAGAUUAGUCUUUCAACUGAUAGAAUGACUUUAAAAAUUAAGGAUGCAAUGGUCACAAGUAAUGAACUUGACAAGUUAAGGCCAAGCUAUGAGGUUACACUCACAUUGUUUAUUGAUUCAGGAAACAUUCCAUUUUCACUCUCCAUUCCAUGUCGAGUUCAUCCAGGUUUUCCCAACUGUGCUGAACUCAAGCCUAAAAUAACAGAAGAUCAACUCAUUCCAGGUUUCAUUUUCAAGGAGCUAAUGUUGGAGGUAUCUUUGAACCUUUAACAUUGAGAGAUUUUUUUUGACUUAUAUGUUUUUUCAUUCUUCUUUGGGUGCUGCACCCAAGGGUCAAUGAGCAUUAUUAUCAGAGGCUAAAGUGAAAUUUUUUCUAAAUUUCCAAGAGAUGAUGGAUUAUGAUACAAUUGUUGUGUAUACUCGAAAUGUUUCAAGUAGCUAGGUGUUGGAAAUAGAGCAAGAGAUAUGGGAAAAUUUAUGGCAUUCAUAAUCUAGUGAUAGUCAUCAUAAAGAAACAUAAAUUCCUAACCAACAAAAGGAUUAAAUGGCAAUGGCGAUGGCAAAACUCAAAGGAGGAAGCGUGCGGAGGGAGAAUCUAUCACGCGCGGAGGAAGAACCAGGAUGAAGAAAGUCUCGUACGAGGUAGCGGUGGCGCGCUCAGAGGUGACAGUGGCGCGUGCAGAGGUGACGGUGGCUCGCGGGGAGGUUAGGGUGGCGUGCGCGGAGGUUAGGGUGGCACGACAAUGGUGCACACGCAGGGGUAGAAGAAAGUCACGUUGUUGUACAUGAUGGUGGAGGCCGCGUCAGAGGCAAUGGUGGCAGGCGGAGGCAACGAUGGCAGGGGGUCUUGUCAGAGCAGC